rnacentral:rRNA from 1 species
UACGGAGGGAGCUAGCGUUGUUCGGAAUUACUGGGCGUAAAGCGCGCGUAGGCGGCUUUGUAAGUUAGAGGUGAAAGCCCGGGGCUCAACCCCGGAACUGCCUUUAAAACUGCAUCGCUUGAAUCCGGGAGAGGUGAGUGGAAUUCCGAGUGUAGAGGUGAAAUUCGUAGAUAUUCGGAAGAACACCAGUGGCGAAGGCGGCUCACUGGACCGGCAUUGACGCUGAGGUGCGAAAGCGUGGGGAGCAAACAAG